UUAUAAACACACACACACACACACACACACAAACACUUCUCACACCAUUGUAGCACACUCUUGUCUCCUGACUGGAAGGCUGGCGUAGGAUGAUAUGGAGGGGGGGAGGGGGAAAAGCAGUGUUUCUCCUCUGCUCUCUUCACGUGUGGAUCGAUGAGGAAGAGGAGAGUCCUUCCUCAGACGAGGCGAGGCGAGGCGCUCUGUCUGAAGCCUGCAUGCCGCAUUAUCAGCUCUCCACUCUCACCACACUACAUUACCAUUCUGUUGGUAGCAGCACUUUUCUUUUUUAUUCUUUCUUUUUUUUUUUUAUUCCCCCGCAGACUUGCCCCUGCAGUGUGAGAGGAGAGAGAGAGAGAGAGAGAGAGAGAGAGAGAGAGAGAGAGAUGUGCUGUGUUUGCUGCCUGGAGGAUGCAGGCUUUAUCGGGUUGCUUUGUGGGCUCCUUUCCGGAGGUUGCACAGCUCCAGCGUGAAGCUGCACACGUGGUUCUCCGGGGAUCUGAGGAGUGUGAGAGAAUGCGAUCACGGCGCUGGGUUAACUGAGGAUAUGUGUGAUGAGAUCAGAUUGGCAACUAUGGAAACAAACAAGCAAACAAAAAAGCUCCCAGACUGCACUGUGUACGGAAUUAACCCCUUGGGGAUGUGCAGUUAUAGGAAAAUAAUCAAUCACAGGGUGGUAGUGAGAUACGGCUCGGACCAAAGCUGAUCCUUCUCCUAUAACAGCGUGUUUUAUUCCUCUUAUACCACAUGGGUUUGCCAGUGAUUACAGUUUUAAUUUAUUAAUGAACGACCCGUCGCAUUUUUAACCAUUUAUAGUUACAUUUAAUUUUGUGCUUUGUUAUAUAACAGCAUGUUUUUUUUUAAAAAAAUCUGUUUAUUAUUAGGUUUAGAUUACGGAGCGUCCGAUAACGGGUCUCAAACAAGUCCCUGCGAAUGAACUGUUACUAUAGAAACCAUAACAAUAGCCAAUCAGAUUUGAGAAUUUAACAGCAUAGUAUUUACCAGUAUUUUUUUUUUCAACACGAAUGUUAGCCGUGUAACCUUUUAUAUUAUAUAUAAAAAAAUAGUAGGGGUGUAAACUUUUGCACUCAGUUUAGGAACUAUUUUAUAAUGUACUUCUUUAUAAUGUAUAGUAGACCAUCUGGGAACCUCUGGGAUUUGGGACACAGUGAUGCUAAUAUCGGAUAGUGUUCAGGACGUAUAGUAGAGAUUUGUGGUUAAAAGUGUGGUGGAGUGCGUGAGCAAUAGUUAUGUU